GAUCAUGGCUCAGAUUGAACGCUAGCGGGAUGCCUUACACAUGCAAGUCGAACGGCAGCGCGGACUUCGGGUCUGGUGGCGAGUGGCGAACGGGUGAGUAAUGUAUCGGAACGUGCCCAGUANCGGGGGAUAACUACUCGAAAGAGUAGCUAAUACCGCAUACGCCCUACGGGGAAAGGGGGGGGAUCGCAAGACCUCUCACUAUUGGAGCGGCCGAUAUCGGAUUAGCUAGUUGGUGAGGUAAAGGCUCACCAAGGCGACGAUCCGUAGCUGGUUUGAGAGGACGACCAGCCACACUGGGACUGAGACACGGCCCAGACUCCUACGGGAGGCAGCAGUGGGGAAUUUUGGACAAUGGGGGAAACCCUGAUCCAGCCAUUCCGCGUGUGCGAUGAAGGCCUUCGGGUUGUAAAGCACUUUUGGCAGGAAAGAAAUCGCAUCAAUUAAUACUUGGUGUGGAUGACGGUACCUGCAGAAUAAGCACCGGCUAACUACGUG
rnacentral:rRNA from 1 species